CAGUAGCCACGGUAAUACGUAGGGUGCAAGCGUUAAUCGGAAUUACUGGGCGUAAAGCGUGCGCAGGCGGUUUGUUAAGACAGAUGUGAAAUCCCCGGGCUCAACCUGGGAACUGCAUUUGUGACUGGCAAGCUAGAGUAUGGCAGAGGGGGGUGGAAUUCCGCGUGUAGCAGUGAAAUGCGUAGAUAUGCGGAGGAACACCGAUGGCGAAGGCAGCCCCCUGGGCCAAUACUGACGCUCAUGCACGAAAGCGUGGGGAGCAAACAGGAUUAGAUACCCGCGUAGUCCCUGUCUCUUAUAC
rnacentral:rRNA from 1 species